UGCAAUGUAGUCUACUGAAAUCGAGAGCCCUCCUAUAUUCAGAGGAUUUGCAUUUUCUUCCUAAUUAUUAUUCUUUGGGGAUGUUUCUGUGAUUCUGUCCCCUCUAGUUACGGUAUAGUUAACAUGCUUAUUUGUCUUGACAUUCGGUUGGAAGAAGGGAGCAAUGUGGAAAAUUUGCAGGCUCAGAGAUGCCGUGCUCUCGCAUCCAUCAUUUGGAUUCAGCACAUGUUGAAAAUAUUACCAAACGGAAAGAUACAAAACUGAAACGGAUUCUUGUCGACUACCUGCUCCUACGGAUGAGACUGCUUCAAAGCUUUCCCAAAGCACCAAUAUCUCGGAGGUAGCUUCCGCACUGGCAUGGUGUGCUGAUAAUAAAACACGCUUCAAAAAGUCUAAGAGCAAACUUGAGUUCCAACUAAGGCUGCAAGAAUUCAUCGAGUUGGUACGAGCCAAUAGCUACAAACAAGCAAUCCUUUAUGCUCAAAAGCAUCUGGCGCCAUGGGGAGCAACCCAUAUGAACGGACUGCAGCAUUUUCUGGCCACUUUGGCUUUUAAAAGUACUACGGAAUGCACAAAGUAUAAGGUUUUAUUUGAACUACAGCCGUGGGAUGCUUUAGUUCAUCAGUUUAAACAAGAAUUUUGCAAGUUAUAUGGCAUGACAAUGGAGCCGUUACUGAGCAUCUACUUACAAGCAGGCUUGUCUGCACUGAAAGCUCCGUAUCCAUCAAAUCUCUAUCAAAAACUUGAUGUUUUUAAUGUCUAUUUAAAAUAAAAGAAGAGAAUAAAGUAGAGGUUAAAAUUAAUGACCAUAGUGUGACUCUUAUUCUGGUCUGAGUUUGUACCUUGACAUGACCGAAAUAUGGUUUUGAAGAAGGUUGUACCAAGGAGGACCCGCUCUCACAAGAGAGCUUCCGGAAGCUAGCUUUGCCUUUACCGUACUCUAAGAAGCACCAUUCAAAGCUUGUUUGCUAUAUUUCCAAAGAGCUAAUGGACACAGAGAAUCGACAGGUGUUUCCCAAUGGUUACGUCUACAGCACCAAGGCUCUCAAGGAAAUGGCGGACAAGAGCGGAGGUGAAGUAAAAUGUACAAGGACAGGGCUUAUCUGCAAAUACACGGACUUAGUUAAGGCAUAUAUAUAUAUCAUGAACCUAGUUGCUCAUAAUCCUCACUUUCGUUUGCUUUAAUAUGAACUGAUGACAACAUAAGUGAGGUCAGUAUUCAGACCAAAACGAAAUGAAUUUUCCAACUUUCUCCA